rnacentral:rRNA from 1 species
GAUGAACGCUGGCGGCGUGCCUAAUACAUGCAAGUCGAGCGAACGGACGAGAAGCUUGCUUUUCUGAUGUUAGCGGCGGACGGGUGAGUAACACGUGGAUAACCUACCUAUAAGACUGGGAUAACUUCGGGAAACCGGAGCUAAUACCGGAUAAUAUUUUGAACCGCAUGGUUCAAAAGUGAAAGACGGUCUUGCUGUCACUUAUAGAUGGAUCCGCGCUGCAUUAGCUAGUUGGUAAGGUAACGGCUUACCAAGGCAACGAUGCAUAGCCGACCUGAGAGGGUGAUCGGCCACACUGGAACUGAGACACGGUCCAGACUCCUACGGGAGGCAGCAGUAGGGAAUCUUCCGCAAUGGGCGAAAGCCUGACGGAGCAACGCCGCGUGAGUGAUGAAGGUCUUCGGAUCGUAAAACUCUGUUAUUAGGGAAGAACAUAUGUGUAAGUAACUGUGCACAUCUUGACGGUACCUAAUCAGAAAGCCACGGCUAACGACGUG